UCCGGUUGAUCCUGCCGGACCUAACUGCUAUCAGAGUGAGAUUAAGCCAUGCGAGUUGAACGUCUUCUAACUGUGGAAGGCGUAGCAAACGGCUCAGUAACACGUAGCUAACCUACCUUAAAGAUGAAGAUAACCCCGGGAAACUGGGACUAAUAAUCGAUAGAUCAUGACACCUGGAACGGGUUGUGAUCCAAAGGAGUAGAUAAAUAUGUUUAUCUAUUCGCUUUAAGAUGGGGCUGCGACCGAUCAUGGUUGUUGGUGGGGUAAUGGCCCACCAAGCCUAUAACCGGUACGGGCUUUGAGAGAAGGAGCCCGGAGAUGGACACUGAGAAAAGGGUCUAGGUCCUACGGGGCGCAGCAGGCGCGAAAACUUCGCAAUGUGCGCAAGCACGACGAGGUUACUCUGAGUGUCACCCGCUGAGGGUGACUUUUACUAGAUGUAAAUAAUCUAGGGAAUAAGGGGAGGGCAAGUCUGGUGUCAGCCGCCGCGGUAAUACCAGCUCCCCGAGUGGUUAGGAUGUUUAUUGGGCCUAAAGCAUCCGUAGCCGGUCUUGUAGGUCUUCUGUUAAAUCCACCAGCCCAACUGUUGGGCCGCAGAAGAUACCGCAGGACUAGGAGGCGGGAGAGGUGGACGGUACUUUAUGGGUAGGGGUAAAAUCUUUUGAUCCAUAGAAGACCACCAGUGGCGAAGCGGUCCACCAGAACGCGCUCGACGGUGAGGGAUGAAAGCUGGGGGAGCGAACCGGAUUAGAUACCCGGGUAGUCCCAGCUGUAAACGAUGCGAGCUAGGUGAUGGGGUGGCUGCGAGCCAUCCCAGUGCCCCGGGGAAGCCGUUAAGCUCGCGCCUGGGAAGUACGACCGCAAGGUUGAAACUUAAAGGAAUUGGCGGGGGAGCACCACAGGGGUGAGCCUGCG
rnacentral:rRNA from 1 species